rnacentral:lncRNA from 1 species
CUACUUUUCAACUUUGCCUUUCCUCCUUGAGAAUCUACUGAACUAGAAAUGUGUCCUGCUCACAGACUGCGGCUUACCAGAGCCUUUGACUCCUCAGGGGUGGAGCAAAUGAUUUCCUUCUUGGACAAGGGCAAUCUGUGGCCAGUGUACAAGAGUUGCCAUGGCAACCCUGCAGCUGCGCUCUGCCUAGCAGAGACUCGGUCUUGUUAAUGACCAGUUCAGCAGUCCGCAGUGUUGGGAAACUGAAUCCAAUGUGCUUGGAGGAGGAACGUUGGGAAUUAUGAGUUAGCUGUCAAAAAAGAUACGUAAGUGAUGAAUCACUGAAUUCUACUCCUGAAAUCAUUAUUACACUAUAUGUUAACCAACCUGGAUUUAAAUAAAAUUUGAAAAAUUUUUUAAAGAUAAAAAGUUCUGUGACAUAAUCAUUUUUCUGGAAUAAUCUUUUAAAAUAAGGGUGAAUUUAUCCAUCGUACUCUCUGCCUAGAUUUUUCCUGCAUAGAUAUUGCUUGUCUAGCCUUACCUCAUUCUUCAGGUCUCAAUUUACUGCUUCCUCUAG